rfam:Triticum aestivum genome assembly, contig: Triticum_aestivum_CS42_TGACv1_scaffold_063566_1DL
AGGCAGCCCCUUUGUCUGAUUUCAGUGGAAUGGAGGUGUUGCGUUGAUUAGAGAUUAAAUCUUCUGCUCUUCAGAUUAGCUGAGGGGCAGGCUCUGGCUUCCCUCUCUGAAGCUUGUCUAGUAGUCUCUUAAGAACAUU